rnacentral:rRNA from 1 species
AACGAACGCUGGCGGCAGGCCUAACACAUGCAAGUCGAGCGAGACCUUCGGGUCUAGCGGCGGACGGGUGAGUAACGCGUGGGAACGUGCCCUUUGCUACGGAAUAGCCCCGGGAAACUGGGAGUAAUACCGUAUGUGCCCUUCGGGGGAAAGAUUUAUCGGCAAAGGAUCGGCCCGCGUUGGAUUAGGUAGUUGGUGGGGUAAUGGCCUACCAAGCCGACGAUCCAUAGCUGGUUUGAGAGGAUGAUCAGCCACACUGGGACUGAGACACGGCCCAGACUCCUACGGGAGGCAGCAGUGGGGAAUCUUAGACAAUGGGGAAAACCCUGAUCUAGCCAUGCCGCGUGAGCGAUGAAGGCCUUAGGGUUGUAAAGCUCUUUCAGGUGGGAAGAUAAUGACGGUACCACCAGAAGAAGCCCCGGCUAACUCCGUGCCAGCCGCCGCCGUAAAAC